rnacentral:rRNA from 1 species
UACGAAGGGGGCUAGCGUUGUUCGGAUUUACUGGGCGUAAAGCGCGUGUAGGCGGGCCGUUAAGUUGGGGGUGAAAGCCCGAGGCUCAACCUCGGAACUGCCUUCAAAACUGGCGGCCUGGAGCAGAUGAGAGGCGAGUGGAAUUCCGAGUGUAGAGGUGAAAUUCGUAGAUAUUCGGAGGAACACCAGUGGCGAAGGCGGGUCUCUGGGCCGAUACUGACGCUGAGGAGCGAAAGCGUGGGGAGCGAACAGG